rnacentral:rRNA from 1 species
CUACGGGAGGCAGCAGUGGGGAAUAUUGGACAAUGGGGGAAACCCUGAUCCAGCAAUGCCGCGUGUGUGAAGAAGGCCUGCGGGUUGUAAAGCACUUUCGGUUGGGAGGACUGCUUCUAGCACUAAUAUUGUUGGAAGUUGACGUUACCUCCAGAAGAAGCACCGGCUAACUCCGUGCCAGCAGCCGCGGUAAUACGGAGGGUGCAAGCGUCAAUCGGAAUUACUGGGCGUAAAGCGCGCGUAGGCGGCUAGAUCAGUCGGGUGUGAAAGCCCCGGGCUUAACCUGGGAACUGCAUCCGAUACUGUCUAGCUUGAGUACAGGAGAGGAGAGUGGAAUUCCACAUGUAGCGGUGAAAUGCGUAGAUAUGUGGAGGAACACCAAUGGCGAAGGCAGCUCUCUGGCCUGAUACUGACGCUGAGGUGCGAAAGCGUGGGGAGCAAACAGGAUUAGAUACCCCUGUAGUC